rnacentral:rRNA from 1 species
CAGUCGCCGCGGGAAUACGAAGGGGGCUAGCGUUGUUCGGAAUUACUGGGCGUAAAGGGCGCGUAGGCGGCCAUUCAAGUUAGAUGUGAAAGCCCUGGGCUUAACCUAAGAAUCGCAUUUGAUACUGUUUGGCUUGAGUUCGGGAGAGGUGAGUGGAAUUCCCAGUGUAGAGGUGAAAUUCGUAGAUAUUGGGAAGAACACCAGUGGCGAAGGCGGCUCACUGGACCGACACUGACGCUGAGGCGCGAAAGCGUGGGGAGCAAACAGGAUUAGAUACCCCUGUAGUCCCUGUCUCUUAUAC